rnacentral:rRNA from 1 species
AUUGAACGCUGGCGGCAGGCCUAACACAUGCAAGUCGAGCGGAUGAAGGGAGCUUGCUCCUGGAUUCAGCGGCGGACGGGUGAGUAAUGCCUAGGAAUCUGCCUGGUAGUGGGGGAUAACGUCCGGAAACGGGCGCUAAUACCGCAUACGUCCUGAGGGAGAAAGUGGGGGAUCUUCGGACCUCACGCUAUCAGAUGAGCCUAGGUCGGAUUAGCUAGUUGGUGGGGUAAAGGCCUACCAAGGCGACGAUCCGUAACUGGUCUGAGAGGAUGAUCAGUCACACUGGAACUGGGACACGGUCCAGACUCCUACGGGAGGCAGCAGUGGGGAAUAUUGGACAAUGGGCGAAAGCCUGAUCCAGCCAUGCCGCGUGUGUGAAGAAGGUCUUCGGAUUGUAAAGCACUUUAAGUUGGGAGAAAGGGCAGUAGGUUAAUACCAUGCUGUUUUGACGUUACCAACAGAAUAAGCACCGGCUAACUUCGUG